rnacentral:rRNA from 1 species
UAGGGAAUCUUCCGCAAUGGACGAAAGUCUGACGGAGCAACGCCGCGUGAGUGAAGAAGGAUUUCGGUUCGUAAAACUCUGUUGUUAGGGAAGAAAAAAUGUAUAGUAACUAUAUACAAAAGAGACGGUACCUAACCAGAAAGCCACGGCUAACUACGUGCCAGCAGCCGCGGUAAUACGUAGGUGGCAAGCGUUGUCCGGAAUUAUUGGGCGUAAAGCGCGCGCAGGUGGUUUAGAAAGUCUGAUGUGAAAGCCCACGGCUCAACCGUGGAGGGUCAUUGGAAACUAAUAAACUUGAGUGCAGGAGAGAAAAGUGGAAUUCCUAGUGUAGCGGUGAAAUGCGUAGAGAUUAGGAGGAACACCGGUGGCGAAAGCGGUUGUUUGGCCUGCAACUGACACUGAGGCGCGAAAGCGUGGGGAGCAAACAGG